rnacentral:misc_RNA from 1 species
AAGUCGUAACAAGGUUAACUGAUCCUUUCGUUCAUCUUAAGGAAGCCUUAGCAGCCCGACAGGGUGAAGUCCAGGCGACUUUUACUUAAAAGCUUUAACUGGAUAUCUUAAAUGCUAGUCAAUAAUCGUUGGCGAUACUACCAAAUUGCGGGGAACUCCUAAAGCUUUUACUACUAAGCGCCUCAGAGAGGAAACUCCGGCGUGGCCAGGUUAACGACCUUGGGUAUAGUAAUAACGUAAAAGAUUUACUUUAAGUAAAGUGGAUAAUCCGCAGCCAAGCCCUACCGUUUAUAUAAGCUACGGGUUCUGUUCACAGACUAAAUGGUGGUAGGUGGAGAUCCUCUCUAUCUUAGAUGUAGUCGAACCUAGAAAAUUAGCAAUUCUAGUUAACUGUUCCGUAGGUGAACCUGCGGAAGGAUCAUUAUCGAGUUAGGGUCUUCUAGGCCUGACCUCCAACCCUUUGUCUAUCUUACCACAUGUUGCUUCGGCGAGCCCGUCCUUUGAAAUAUAGGGGCCGCCGGGGGGUUCUAUACCCCUGGUCCGCGCUCGUCGAUAGCCAUUAAUAAACUCUUGUUCAACUGUGUCGUCUAAGUAAAAGCACUUAAUUAAAUAAAA